GGAUGCGAUCAUACCAGCACUAAAGCACCGGAUCCCAUCAGAACUCCAAAGUUAAGCGUGCUUGGGCGAGAGUAGUACUUGGAUGGGUGACCUCCUGGGAAGUCCUCGUGUUCCAUUCC
rnacentral:rRNA from 2 species